rnacentral:rRNA from 1 species
AUUGAACGCUGGCGGCAGGCUUAACACAUGCAAGUCGAGCGGAAACGAGAAUAGCUUGCUAUUCGGCGUCGAGCGGCGGACGGGUGAGUAAUGCUUGGGAAUAUGCCUUUUGGUGGGGGACAACAGUUGGAAACGACUGCUAAUACCGCAUAAUGUUUACGGACCAAAGCGGGGGAUUCUUCGGACCUCGUGCCAAAAGAUUAGCCCAAGUGAGAUUAGCUAGUUGGUGGGGUAAUGGCCUACCAAGGCGACGAUCUCUAGCUGGUUUGAGAGGAUGAUCAGCCACACUGGGACUGAGACACGGCCCAGACUCCUACGGGAGGCAGCAGUGAGGAUAUUGCACAAUGGAGGAAACUCUGAUGCAGCCAUGCCGCGUGAAUGAAG